UAAAAAGUGGCAGAAAAAUGCAUUGGUUUUAAACACCUUUAAUAAGGAAUUAUUUAUUUCCUUCUUUUUUA
rnacentral:tRNA from 1 species